GAGCAUCGAAUCUUUGAACGCACAUUGCACCCUCUGGUAUUCCGGAGGGUAUGCCUGUUUGAGUGUCAUUAUCACCUCAAAGCAACAGUGGGGAUUAAUUCCUUCUUUUGCAAUUGGAUGUUGAAGGUUUUGCUGGUUCCUUGAUGUUAUCCAGCUCCUUUUAAAUGCAUUAGCAGGACUUGCAUGACCAGCUCCAGUUUGAUACAUGUGUUAUCUGAGCUGUUGCUGUGAAAGCUCCCAAGGUCAUCUGCUUCUCAAACUGUCUGUGGACUUUGUCCCAGUGGACAAAUAUACCUUGAACUUGACCUCAAAUCAGGUAGGACUACCCGCUGAACUUAAGCAUAUCAAUAAGCGGAGG
rnacentral:rRNA from 1 species